UACGGCCAUACCACCCUGAACGCGCCCGAUCUCGUCUGAUCUCGGAAGCUAAGCAGGGUCGGGCCUGGUUAGUACUUGGAUGGGAGAAAUAAGCUUUCCCUCUUAU
rnacentral:rRNA from 1 species